UGAAAGAGCAGGCUGAGCUUGUGCAGAAAGCUUUGCAGCGUGAUCCGGUUAACUAUCCAUUCUGAAGCUGAAGCUGAAGCGUUCAUGUACCCCAUUGCACUAGCCUCCAAAACUGAAAGAAUGUUUAGCCCAGUGAGUUUCAGUUGUUUGGAAAUAAGGCCUUUUUGUUUGUGCUCCUUUUCAGUUGGGUAACCAAUUUUACUAAUGCUUUCACAUGUAUACGUUAUCAGUUGGUAACAGUUUUGAUCAGUAAGACGACUCGCUCACGGCUCUAUCCUUGUUCUUUCUUCCCUUUGAAGGUUCUUGAUCUGUCUGCUUUCUGGGUUGUGUGCACGUGUUCUCUAUUAUUUUUUUUUUUACGAAAAAGGUCCAAAUAUAUCCCUAUACUAUCCGGAAUAGUAAAUAUAUCCUCUGUUUGGGUAUCUGUCCAAUUAAACCCCUAACAUCAUAACCCACCUAAAAUUUUACUACCCGAUUUAUUAACCUACCCCUUAAUUUAAUGCAUACCCGACCCGUCAACUCUCUUUAUUCUGAUUUUUUUUUUUCAUUUUCUUGGUUUGUUUCUUUACGUUCUUUCUUUAUCUUCGACUACCAAUUUCCUUGACUUAGCUUCAGCUUUCAAUUGGAUCUCAAUCUCUAGGACAUGCCCAACAACUUCAUCUCAUAUCCUUCAUCAUGGAUUUGACCAAGAUUCUGCUAUAGCGCAACCAAACUCAUCUCCUCCUACUUUGUAUGCAAAACCCAAUUGGCUCUCAAUUUGUUUUUGACUCUAUUGAACACAAAAGUCAGUAUCUUUGGAACAUUAUAAUUAAUGUUUAUACUAAACAAGUUCUUUAAGCAACGUUUUAAGCUUUGUAAAAGUAAAGUCACCUUUAAUGAGUUUACCUUGUCGGGUAUAGUGAAAAUUUUGGGUGAAUUAGGGGAGAUUGUUUUUAGAAAAAUUGUUCAUGGGAGUUGUGUGAGAAAUGAGGUUUUUUGGAUAUUGAUGUUGGUGAUUCUUUUAUGUCUAUGAAUAGCAAAUGUGGGAUUUUUCAAGAUUUCCUGAAGGUCUUUGAUAGAAUGCCGUAUAGGAGAGUUUCAUUUUUAAUGUUCUAGUUUCUGCGUAUAUGGGUGUAAAAGAGAGCUUUAGAUUCCAAAAAUAUGAGAUUUUGAGAAGGAUAUGCAAUUUCAAGGCUGGAAGUUUGAUGCAUUUACAGUUUCGACACUUCUUUUUUUGUGCGGAGAGGUGAAGAAGAACUGGCACAGAGUGACACUAUGGUAAAGGCCUGCAGUGUUAUGUUCUGGAGGCUGAAUUGGACUCGAAAUUGGAUUCAAAUUGGAUGAAGUUCAGGUGAAGGAGGUGGCAAGAUGUUUUGAUAAAGAAGAAAGAGAAGUGUGUAAAGGAAAAAAGAAAGCAAAUGAAAAGAAAAUCAAAAUAAAGAUAUUUGACGGGUCGGUUGUGGAUUAAAUUAACGGGAUGGGGUAAGAAAUCAGGUAUUAAAAUUGUAAGUGGGUUAUUUGAUUCUAGUUUGCCAAUUAUCCCUCGGUCUAAUUUAUGGGCAAAUUAGUUGCAAUAGUAUGACGGCAAUCUGCGAAACUACCUUUAGAUAUAUAUAAAUAAACUGAUUAGAUAUAUAAAAUCAAAAUUGAAUAUUCUUUAUCGGAAUUUUUUCUUUACUUCUUUCAAAUUUGAACACUCUUGAAAAUAUUUUUGGUUUCGUCACAAAUGAUACCAGAAGUAUAAUUGGACGAAUAUUCCAACGGAGGAUAUAUUUAAACUAUUUCGAAUAGUAGAGAAAUAUAUUUGAUGCUUAUCCGUUUCUUUUUAUUCAGCUCUCUUUGCAAUAUCCACAAAAUAAAGAGAAAAAGCCAAAACUAAACAAAGUUGGUGGGUGGAUUGAGGGGGUUGUACAUAAGAAUCAUGCUUCAUAUGAAAUGAUUCGUAUAUUCACAAUAUAGAGGGCUAAAAACCAAAAAGAAAAGAGAUGGUGGUAGAUUUGGAGGGGGUGGGUGGAUAAGAAUGUGUCCCAUAUAUUCAAUAACAAUAAAGGAACAAAAUCGGGUGGAACGCAAAAAGAAAAAGAGAGAAGCAUACCUUAGAAAAGUACGUAACAGAAAAUGUCUAGUGGCGAAAGGUUCCCACAUCGGCAGAGACAGAAGAUAGCAAGGAGCUUGAGCACUAUAAAGAUAUGAGAGGGAACAUCAUCGAACAUACUUACCUGGACGGGGUCAAUGGGCGAUCAAGAAGGCCUAUGGCCUAGGUUGGUGACUUUCAUUGCACUUUGAAGGGGUGCCUGCCUAAGGUCGGCCCAAGUGGCCGAGCCUACGUCAUAAUUUGUGGCAGCGGGGGCCUGCGUUCGCGCGGCCCCUACCCAAAUCUUAGUGUCAAGCCUUUAUUCUCUGUGCCUGAGCCAUUAGUGUUAUAUGGUUUGGGCCCAAUGUAGUCUGUAAAAUGGGGGAAUGAUCUUCUGAUUGACUAUGACUUAAACGAUGGAAUUUGGAACGUUGCAUUGUUAUAAGAACUUAUGUAGAAAAGAGAAAUGGCAUUAACAAGCAAAAUAAUACUCGUGAACAUUGGUUGUACUAAGCUGCUUUUAUAGGAUCCGUUCUCUCUAUUCGUGACACUUAUAUUUCGUUCAGACAGACACUUGAUCGAGCAUAAAGCAAAACUCUUGAAAUUAUAUAAUGUAUAAAUAAGUUUUGAUAAUUAACUAUUAAGUGAAUCAUAUAUAAACAGAGAAGAAGCAUGGCAACCACUCUUUGAGAUGUUGGCUUUACGGGGAUUUCAAAUUACAAGCCCAAAUCUCUUCUCGCCUAUUGUGCCCAAAUGCCAAAUAACGCUAGUGCUUCUCUUUUGGUCCAGUGGUUAAUAUGAUAAAAAAUUGGACGAGCCGUUAACCUAUAUGUUUUUUUAAAACUUUGAACUUGUACCCACUUUUUAAACAAUUUCAACUCUAUUUCUCCUCCUCAAAGUUAUAUCCGCUUCUUUCUCAAACUACUCUUCUCUUUUCUGCAAGAAAUGCAAAUUCCUUGGUGGUUGUCUGAGAUUGUACAGUGUGGUGGAGCUGCUGAAUCUUCUGAAUAUGUCAUCUUAGGGAUCAUUACUGUUCUGGUAGUCCGAGUCUUUGUUGUUUUCAUUUCAAAGUGGAAUGCUUUUUGUGUGUUGCUUCUCUUUUAAUGUUUUACACGCUAUUACUCUUAAUCGAUGUUAUUCUCUUAUUUUAAAGCUGUAACUAAACCUAUAAGCUAGAUUUCGAC
rnacentral:lncRNA from 1 species